rnacentral:tRNA from 1 species
UAGCUCAGUGGUGGAGUACAUGCCUAGCAUGCUUGAAACCCUGGGUUUGAUCCCCAG